rnacentral:rRNA from 1 species
CAGUAGCCGCGGGAAUACAGAGGGUGCAAGCGUUAAUCGGAUUUACUGGGCGUAAAGAGCGCGUAGGUGGUUAUGUAAGUGAGAUGUGAAAUCCCCGGGCUCAACCUGGGAACUGCAUCUUAUACUGCGUAGCUGGAGUGCAGUAGAGGGUAGUGGAAUUUCCGGUGUAGCGGUGAAAUGCGUAGAUAUCGGAAGGAACACUAGUGGCGAAGGCGGCUACCUGGACUGACACUGACACUGAGGCGCAAAAGCGUGGGGAGCAAACAGGAUUAGAUACCCCCGUAGUCCCUGUCUCUUAUAC